AUGCACAUGGGCCCACAGGCACCUCCAGGCCCUCUCUAUGUGCUUCAGCCUCAUGUAUGCUGGGAUUACAGGUGUACUUUGUACUUGACUAACAGGGACAAAAAAGAGGAAAAGAAAAAGACACCGAAACUUAACAGAAACAAGCCAGAGAUCCUCACCUUGAUCUACAUAGUGCCACACAACAUGCAGGUUGUCUGUGGGUGGAUUGAAGGUUGUGUUUGCCUCAAUGUACCUAUGUGCACCACAUACAUGCCUGGUGCCAGUGAAGAACAGAAGAAGCCACUGGAUACUGUGGAAAUGGAGUUACAGGUUGGUUUGGUUUUGAGCUGUCCAAUGUCAAAAAAAUCAAUAAGAAAAUGAAUGAAAGUGAGACUGAUAUAUGAAAGGAUGAAGGAUGGAUGAGUGAGUGAGUGACGCUGGAGGAUGUGGCUCUUUACCUAAAUGUCUCAAUCACAAAGUUUUUUUUCAUUCCUACAGGGGAUGGCCAGCUAGGAGCCAAGGAAUCAGAGUGAUUUUAUCUAUGGCUUAAAGAUAUUUAAGGACCCUCUAUGUCCUCAAGUAGGAAGUCCUUUACCCUGGGGUCAGUCCAUGCAAGGGAAGGAUUCAAGUUAUACAAAUACCAGGCAUAUGUGAUCUGUAAACUCUUGCAACGUCUACCGUCACAGCAAACACCCUAAGUGAACAAGUCCUAAGCUUUGAAAAGGAUGCAACGCAUAAGAUGAAAGAAUGCUGCGAUAGGGUUAAGAGAAAAAGGUAGCCAACUCCUGUUUGCAUUUGAAUCUGGCAUAGGAUCUUGAGCAAAUGACAGAACUUCUCUAUACAUAUGUUCCCUACCUCUGACAUAGAAGGUAGUACCGUCACUUGUCCUGCCUAUCAUUUUUUAUAAAUGCAUGUGAGUUUCAAGCUGUUUGACAUAAUUUAAAGCGACCCCCUACCCAUCUUUUAAUGUUCAAAGAAGACUGCCAAUCAUGCUUGGUACCAUAGAUACCUAACAGCUAUAGUUUUGUUGUUAUUACUAUUAUUAUGGCCCAUAGUGUUGGAAUCUAUUCCAACCCUGUGCUAAGCUAGUUUACACAUAUGGACUCUUCAUUCUGUGCUGUUUGAUAACACAAGCCUACUCCAUCCUGAAGUCAGAAGGACAGUUAAAGAAUCUGAUAUCUCUCAAAGAGGUUUCCUAAGAUGUCCUGAUUGUCCAUCUUCUCCCUGCCACAGUACAAAAUAAGUCCUCUGACACUCGUGUUUUCUAAGCUAUCAGUCUCAUGGAAAGAGCUGUUGAAAUAACAAUGUGGGCAAAGAAGUGUCUUGGUGACCUGUCCCAACACCCCAGCCAGUCCUUUACCCUCCUCAUCCAUCUUUGCUCCUCAAAGACCCUGAGACAGGGGAACAUGGCACAUCCUCUGACCAGCAGGAGAUUGCAGUUAGACAACUAGAACCAGGGUGAACUUGUGGGAGUAUUGCUUUCCUCUUAACUGCUCCGGAGAUGUUGAUGACAGCUCAAAUGCUACCAACUCCACCGCCAUCAUCUCAAGGGGAGCCAGAUCUGCAGGAGUCUCCAAUGAUGGAGAUUUGUCGCCCCUUUGAGGCACAGGGAAGUCAAGCUCUUCAAUUAUCGGUUCAGCUGUAAGAGCAAGGCUCCCUAGUUCACCUAACCUGUUUUAUUGACUUUAGUUUGCUUUCUGUGUAGUUUGUGAUUUCAACAACUUGAAUGAAGCACAAACAACCAUAAAGAGAAUGAACCUUCUGUGGUGAUUCAAUUCUUCCAGUCAGUGGAAGACUGUGUCUCAAGCAUGCUUUUGACAUGAAAACCAAUCAAUUAAGGGCCAUCCCUUUACUAUCUGAUUUGAGCCCACCUUACCUUCCCCUACUCCCUGAGAAUUCAAUUAUUUUCUGUUUUAGUCAUCCUAGGGUAGAUUUCAGGCAGCUCAAGAUGACCACUGUGCUCAAACCACACACCCGAAAAUAUGUGACAGGCCCAUCUUAAACUCAUGAUACUGCCUGUCUUUUCUUUCUCAUGGAAACUAACAUGAAAAGCUGUGGAGACUCGUGCUCUCUCCCCAUUCCCAUCUUUAGACACCUGACCAAAAUAUGGUAAUUCCCCCUUGUAGUCCUGUACAGACUAUGAUAGCCUCUUUUCAGGGCUCUGUGUCUCGUGACUGUGUUGUACUCUUUCUCUUGCAUCUCCUUUUGCAGGGGCAUAUCUUUUUAAUCUUGAGAAAAAGCACAAAAUAUUAACUUGGUUGAGCAUUCAAGUAGUGAGAAUGACCCCAGAGCUUGGGGGACAGAGCAGUUGAUGCCCAGUUCCAUGUAGAACUGAAUCUGACUAUCUUUCUGGAGAGCCAAUGAGGAAGAGCCUGUCAUACACUGUACCCCAGCCUUCUAAUUCUCAGAGUUUAUUCUAAGAAAGGAAAAAGUUGAACAUUGAUACGUAUGUCUGAGAAGGGUAUAUCGCUGUUUUAAUUACAAUUAUAAAGGUUUAGAAUUUGGUACUAUGUCUAAUGAUUAGGGAAAAGUAUCUCAUGUAAUAACAUACUCAACUGCCAUUAAAACUAUGUUUGAAAGAAAUGCUUUGUUCUAUGGGAAUGUAUUUAGUAUAUGAUUUCAAGCUAUGUCUUAAGGUUGGACAACAAUGUAUUUUAAAUAAUCCCAUCCAGCUCAGUCUCAGUCUACAUGUAGUUCUAAGAAAAUACCUCAGAAAAAUAAAUCAACAUAGAAAAAUCAGUUCUAUUUGUAUCCACUUACAAUAGAUAAUAUGAAAAGGAAAUUUAGAAAACAAUACCAUUUGUUAGCAUGCCAAAAGAAUAAAAUACUUACAAAUAAAUAUAACCAAGGAGGUGAAAACAGGUGUAUCAAAAACUUUAAAAUAUAAAUACAUUUUAAAACAGGAGGAUGUGGGGAUGUCUUAAAGUACUUGUUGCAUAAGCACGAGGACCUGAGUUCCCUGCCCUACAGCAUGUAUAAAUGCCAGCCAUGGUGGUAGGUGUUUAUAAUUCCAGUGCUAGGAGGCAGCUGACAAGAGAAGCCUGGGACUUAUUGUCCAGUCAACCUAAUGAAUUGAUAAGCACAAACCAGUGAGAGACCCUGUCUCACAAAGCAAGGUAGGUAUGGGGAGAUGGCUCAGUGUUUAAGAGCACUUACUGCUUUUGCAGAGGACACAAUGGAUAACAUGAAAAGGCAAUUUAGAAAACAAUACCAUUUAUUAGCAUGCCAAAAGAAUAAAAUAUUUAUAAAUAAACAUAACCAAGGAGGUGAAAACAGGUGUAUCAAAAACUUUAAAAUAUAAAUACAUUUUAAAACAGGAGGAUGUGGGGAUGUCUUAAAGUACUUGUUAAAGUGCUAGGGUUGACCCCUAGCACCCACAUGGUCCCAGGGGAUCCAGUGCUUUCUUCUCACCCUCAUGGAUACCAAAUGCACACAUGGUACACAUGCAUACAUUCAGAAAAACACUCAAAUAUAAAAUAAAAUAAAUAAAUCUAAGUUUAAAAAUUAAAGGUAUCACACAUGUAUACAGACUUGCAAAUAUUUUCUUCCAAUUAAUUAAUGGGUUAUUUUUCACUCUCUUGAUACUGUUUUUGAAGUCCAGAAAGUUUUUUAUUUGAGUACUGAUUAGUUUAUUCAUUUUUAAUUUUAUUGCCUGUAUUGUUUUUAUGUAGAAUAAAUUGUAGCUACGUUCAAUGAGUCUCCUAUGUUUUCAUAUAGUUUCAGCUCUUACAUUUAGGUGUUUGACCCAUUUUGGAUUAACUUUGUAUAUGAUGCCAUGUGAGGGUUGAACUUCAUUCUUUUGCAUUUGAACAUACAGGUUUCCUAAUACCAUUGUUGAGAAGCCUGUCUAAUCACAUUAAAUAGUCUUGGCACCCUUGUUGAAAAC
ensembl:lincRNA